GUCCGCCGCCGCACAGGCGGCUUAGAAA
rfam:Methylomonas sp. DH-1, complete genome.